rnacentral:rRNA from 1 species
GAUGAACGCUAGCUACAGGCUUAACACAUGCAAGUCGCGGGGCAGCAUGGGGGUUGCUUGCAAUCCCCGAUGGCGACCGGCGCACGGGUGAGUAACGCGUAUCCAACCUGCCCUUCACCACGGGAUAACCCGGCGAAAGUCGGACUAAUACCGUAUGUUGUCCAUUGACGGCAUCCGAUUUGGACGAAAGGUUUGGCGGUGAAGGAUGGGGAUGCGUCCGAUUAGCUGGACGGCGGGGUGACGGCCCACCGUGGCGACGAUCGGUAGGGGUUCUGAGAGGAAGGUCCCCCACACUGGAACUGAGACACGGUCCAGACUCCUACGGGAGGCAGCAGUGAGGAAUAUUGGUCAAUGGGCGUAAGCCUGAACCAGCCAAGUAGCGUGCAGGAUGACGGCCCUAUGGGUGGUAAACUGCUUUUAUGCGGGGAUAAAGUGGCCCACGUGUGGGUUUUUGCAGGUACCGCAUGAAUAAGAACCGGCUAAUUCCGUG